rnacentral:rRNA from 1 species
GACGAACGCUGGCGGCGUGCUUAACACAUGCAAGUCGAACGGAAAGGCCCUGCUUUUGUGGGGUGCUCGAGUGGCGAACGGGUGAGUAACACGUGAGUAACCUGCCCUUGACUUUGGGAUAACUUCAGGAAACUGGGGCUAAUACCGGAUAGGAGCUCCUGCUGCAUGGUGGGGGUUGGAAAGUUUCGGCGGUUGGGGAUGGACUUGCGGCUUAUCAGCUUGUUGGUGGGGUAGUGGCUUACCAAGGCUUUGACGGGUAGCCGGCCUGAGAGGGUGACCGGCCACAUUGGGACUGAGAUACGGCCCAGACUCCUACGGGAGGCAGCGGUGGGGAAUAUUGCACAAUGGGCGGAAGCCUGAUGCAGCAACGCCGCGUGCGGGAUGACGGCCUUCGGGUUGUAAACCGCUUUCGCCUGUGACGAAGCGUGAGUGACGGUAAUGGGUAAAGAAGCACCGGCUAACUACGUG